CGGUAAACCAAGAGAUUAAGUUAUAUUUUGAGGUAAAAAGACAGUUAGGCUUAAAUAAUUUUAGUUUAUUAAUCAUUUAUAAAAAGGUAAAAUUUGUAUAUAAGUAGUUAAUUUAGUUAUAACUUACUCGCUGAAGCUGUGAUAGUCUUGAGGGAAACUGGGAUUAGAUACCCCAUUAUUCUUGACUGUAAAUCUAAUUAAAUUUACCAGAGUACUAUGAAUAAUUCAUAAAAAUUUAAAACUCAAAGGGCUUGGCGGUGUUUUAGACCUAUCAGGGGAACCUGUCUCAUAAUCGACAAUCCACGAUAUACCUGACCCUAUUUUGCACCCAGUUUGUAUACCGUCGUCGUCAGGUAACUUUUAAAAAUUCAGAAGUUAGCAAUAAAAAUUUUAUAAAUUUAAACGUCAGAUCAAGGUGCAGCUAAUAAAAGGGAGAGGAUGGGUUACAAUUAUUUUACUUAUAAUUACGAAAAACUACAUGAAAACAUAGUUGGAAGGAGGACUUGAAAGUAAAAUAAAAUAUAUAAGCAAUUUGAAUAGGGCUCUG
rnacentral:rRNA from 1 species